rnacentral:rRNA from 1 species
AUCGGACCUAGCGGCGAAUGGGUGAGUAACACGUGCUUAAUCUACCUUUUAGAUUGGGAUACCCAAUGGAAACAUUGGUUAAUACCGGAUACGCAGAGAAUCGCAUGAUUCUUUUGUGAAAGGAGCCUUAAAGCUCCACUAGAAGAUGAGGGUGCGGAACAUUAGUUAGUUGGUGAGGUAAUGGCUCACCAAGACUAUGAUGUUUAGCCGGGUCGAGAGACUGAACGGCCACAUUGGGACUGAGAUACGGCCCAAACUCCUACGGGAGGCAGCAGUAGGGAAUAUUCCACAAUGAGCGAAAGCUUGAUGGAGCGACACAGCGUGCACGAUGACGGUCUUCGGAUUGUAAAGUGCUGUUAUAAGGAAAGAACACUUCAAUGAGGAAAUGCUUUGAAGCUGACGGUACCUUAUCAGAAAGCGAUGGCUAACUAUGUGCCAGCAGCCGCGGUAAUACAUAGGUCGCAAGCGUUAUCCGGAAUUAUUGGGCGUAAAGCGUUCGUAGGCUGUUUAUUAAGUCUGAAGUCAAAUCCCAAGGCUCAACCUUGGCUCGCUUUGGAUACUGGUAAACUAGAGUUAGAUAGAGGUAAGCGGAAUUCCAUGUGAAGCGGUGAAAUGCGUAGAUAUAUGGAAGAACACCAAAGGCGAAGGCAGCUUACUGGGUCUAUACUGACGCUGAGGGACGAAAGCGUGGGGAGCAAACAGGAUUAGAUACCCUGGUAGUCCACGCCGUAAACGAUGAUCAUUAGUCGGUGGAGAAUCACUGACGCAGCUAACGCAUUAAAUGAUCCGCCUGAGUAGUAUGCUCGCAAGAGUGAAACUUAAAGGAAUUGACGGGGACCCGCACAAGCGGUGGAGCAUGUGGUUUAAUUUGAAGAUACACGGAGAACCUUACCCACUCUUGACAUCCUUCGCAAAGCU